ensembl:lncRNA
CCAUGCAUAGUCGGGUGGUAGGGUGGUCCCAUGCAUAGUCGGGUGGUAGGGUGGUCCCAUGCAUAGUCUGGUGGUAGGGUGGUUUCAUGCAUAGUCGGGUGGUAGGGUGGUCCCAUGCAUAGUCGGGUGGUAGGGUGGUUCCAUGCAUAGUCGGGUGGUAGGGGUGGUCCCAUGCAUAGUCGGGUGGUAGGGUGGUCCCAUGCAUAGUCGGGUAUUAGGGUGGUCCCAUGCAUAGUCGGGUGGUAGGGUGGUCCCAUGCAUAGUCGGGUGGUCCCAUGCAUAGUCGGGUGGUAGGGUGGUCCCAUGCAUAGUCGGGUGGUAGGGUGGUCCCAUGCAUAGUCGGGUGGUAAGGUGGUCCCAUGCAUAGUCAGGUGGUAGGGUGGUCCCAUGCAUAGUCAGGUGGUUCCUUCCAGCAACUCCGUAUUGCGGAGAAUUGAGGAGUGUGACGGGCGACUAACUACCACAGUUCCCAUAACGGGUGAGUCAUCAUCAUCGUCUUUCAGACCUUUUUAGCAGAUCUCUCUCUCUCCGUCCUUGUCUCUCUCUCUCUCUCUCUCUCCCCCUCCUUCUCUCUCUCUCUCUCUCUCUCUCCUUGUCUCUCUCUCCUAUUCUCUCUCUCUCUC